rnacentral:lncRNA from 1 species
GGCUUACAAAAUAUGGACCCAGCCCAAAAUUAGGGCUCUCCUUUGAGGCUAUAAACCACUUGAGGACAGGGGUUAGGUCUUAUGUAUAUGCCAACUCUCACUAUGCUAGGCAUAUAGUUUAAAUUUCACUGGUGUUUCUGAAAUUAAUUGCUCUUUUUCUCUUGCAAUGUAAUGUUACUAAAUGAUGUUCCUCACACUUACUUAAAGACCCAAAACAACAAGGACAAUACAGGCCUUUUAACAGGUAAUGAGAAAUGGAAUCAAUCAAAAACUGUGAUGAAAAUUAAUGGAAGAAAUGAAAACCAAAGUGAAGGGGAACCUAAGUACACUAUUCAAGCUAGAAUCCCAAGGGAUGUGAUGCCAAUGGUGGGAUCAUCCAGGUGAUGACUCUUAGGUGAAACACUUAGCUUUCAGACCAUCCUUGCAAGGGAGCAGCCAGUGGGUAUCACUGGCUUUAUGCUUCUUUGCAGUAACUAGAGUUCCUUUGAAGGCAGUGAAAAGUUGUGUUCAAUGAUUACUUUCUCCUUUUCCUUAGGGUGUUAAAUACCACAUUAUUUGAAAGUUGGGAGAUUGUUGGACCUUACCCUUCCUGGUGGGUUUUUAACCUACUGCUGUUGGUAAUACAAGGCUUGAACUGCUUCUGGUCUUACUUGAUCGUAAAAAUAGCUUGCAAAGCUAUUUCAAAAGGCAAGUCUGGGAAGUGGAACCCCUUACAUGUGUCCAAGGAUGAUCGAAGUGAUAUUGAGUCUAGCUCAGAUGAGGAGGACUCAGAACCUCCAGGAAAGAACCCCCAUACUGCGACCACCACCAAUGGGACCAGUGGUACCAACGGGUAUCUCCUCACUGGCGCUUGUGCCAUGGAUGAUUAAUUCCUCAAAACCACAAGUCCCAAACAAAGUGAACUGUUUGUUCCUGGAAGUAUUUAAUAAAUUGCAAAUGCAGUUCCUUUCAUAA